rnacentral:rRNA from 1 species
UACGAAGGGGGCUAGCGUUGCUCGGAAUCACUGGGCGUAAAGGGCGCGUAGGCGGCUCGUGAAGUCGGGUGUGAAAGCCCGGGGCUCAACCCCGGAACGGCAUCCGAUACUGGCGGGCUUGAGACCGGGAGAGGAGGGUGGAAUACCCAGUGUAGAGGUGAAAUUCGUAGAUAUUGGGAAGAACACCUGAGGCGAAGGCGGGUUGCUGGGCCGACACUGACGCUGAUGCGCGAAAGCCAGGGGAGCGAACGGG